CCUCCUCGGUCCCGCUCCGCCCCCUCACCUCUCCUCUCCGCCGCCGUUAAAGUGGAUUACCGCCGGCCCAGCUCAGGGUGGUGAAUAACAUCUCUCUCCGGUUGUAGAUAUUCGGCAUGAAAGAUGGAUUCAGGAACUGGGCACUUGGAUCGACAAUUUGCAAGUAUUACUCCACUGCAAAAAAUGGAAGGAAUGAGAAAUCCAGAAUUACAGAACUGUUACAUUUCAGUAACUUCUUCAAAAUUCAUGUUAACCUAUCACCAAAAACAGAGAUAACAAGGUGUAGAGCUGGAUGAACACAGAAGGCCAAGCAGCAUCAGAGGAGCAGGAAGGCUGACGUUUCGGGCCUAGACCUUUCUUCAGAAACAAAAACAGAUUGACUAUGAACUUGGACAAUUAUCAGUAGAUUAAAGGGAAGAGCAUGGAUUA